rnacentral:rRNA from 1 species
UUCGACCUCAAAUCAGGUAGGACUACCCGCUGAACUUAAGCAUAUCAAUAAGCGGAGGAGAGGAUCAUUACAGAAUGAAAAGUGCUUAACUGCAUUUUUUCUUACACAUGUGUUUUUCUUUUUUUGAAAACUUUGCUUUGGUAGGCCUUCUAUAUGGGGCCUGCAGAGAUUAAACUCACCAAAUUUUAUUUAAUGUCACCGAUUAUUUAAUAGUCA